GAAGCCCUACGGGGGGCAGCAGUGGGGAAUAUUGCACAAUGGGCGAAAGCCUGAUGCAGCGACGCCGCGUGAGCGAAGAAGUAUUUCGGUAUGUAAAGCUCUAUCAGCAGGGAAGAAAAUGACGGUACCUGACUAAGAAGCCCCGGCUAACUACGUGCCAGCAGCCGCGGUAAUACGUAGGGGGCAAGCGUUAUCCGGAUUUACUGGGUGUAAAGGGAGCGUAGACGGCA
rnacentral:rRNA from 1 species